AGGACGAACGCUGGCGGCGUGCUUAACACAUGCAAGUCGAGCGGUAAGGCCUCUUCGGGGGUACACGAGCGGCGAACGGGUGAGUAACACGUGGGCGACCUGCCCUCAGCUCUGGGAUAAGCCUGGGAAACUGGGUCUAAUACCGGAUAUGACCUUCUCUCGCAUGGGGGUUGGUGGAAAGUCCUGGGCUUUUGUCUGGGUUCGGCUGGGGAUGGGCCCGCGGCCUAUCAGCUUGUUGGUGGGGUGAUGGCCUACCAAGGCGACGACGGGUA
rnacentral:rRNA from 1 species